AUAAAAUUAAGAGUUAAAAAAGAAAAGAGUAAAAAAAGAACGCUUACCGAAGCACCAAAGAAUAACUUUACGGUUAAGUGGAACGCAAGAGAGCAUUUCCUGCACUCUGGAACUCAUAGGAACGGUGCAAGUGCAGUCUAAAAAAGUCUAAUCAUUAAAAGAGGAAAAAAUGUUCGUACAAUCUUACGUACGAACGGCACUAGAUGUUCGUACGCACAUGCGCACUAAAGCACGGACAAGUCAUACGAACCUCCAAUUAUCUUGCACAUGCGUAUCCAGACAAUCUGCCGAAAAGAGAUCAAUAUGCGCAUGCGUAUAGUCAAAACUAGGUACAUGAAAUACCAAUAGAUCACAAAAAACUGUGUGAUACUGGGUGAUGUAUAACAUCACCUCGUAUCAUAGAGCGACAAUUUUCCGGGUUACAAUUGCAUCUCUUGCCACAAAGUGGCAAGAAAUAUUCUAUUAGAUAAUUUCUGACAUGCAAUUCUGACUUUGUGGUUUAUGCACUGAAGUGCCCUUGUGGUCUCUUGUACGUGGGCCAGACUAGCCAAAAGUUUAAAAUUAGGUUUUCUAAACAUAAGUCGACAAUCCGUACUGGAUUGAUUGACUUACCUCUUCCUGCUCACUUUUUGGAAGCUAGACAUAAUGUCUCUCAAUGAAGGUUCAGAUUUUAGAACAAAUUAUGGAAUUGCCCAGGAGAGGUGACCGAACUUAGAGAGUACUAUUACGUGAGGCUUACUGGAUUCGUGAACUUGACACAUUACAUCCUAAAGGUUUAAACUAUUAAUACGAUUUAUCUAUGUUAAUUUAAGUAAUGGUUGCUUGUAUUGUUAUUUUUACCAUUGUUUGGCUACAUGUAGCUAACUUUUAAUUUUCACUCUUAUAUUAAAUUUUUACAGGACUCCUGGUAGAAAUUUGGUGCUGGUUCUUGUAUAAACCCUAAUCCUUUCAUAGCUAAGCAUGGAAUUCUGGACUUUUGUGGGACCACUCUGAUUUGGACACAUUAUAUUGUUUCUUUUGUUGCAUUAUAAGUAUUUUUAUAUAAUGAUAAUUUAACUUUCAUAAUUAUAUUGCACCAUAUGCAC